UCCUCAUUACAGUGCCUUCUACUCAUUACUGCACAUUUACUAUAAUUAGGAUCAAGAUGUUUCUGGGCCCAGCAAAUUAUCGAGCCUCAGGGAGAGGGCAGAGUUGUACCCAGGGAUUGACAUUGUACAGAAGGACCCCUUUUCCUUUGGCAAAGUCAGAAAUUAUGACAUUGACAUUGUGACACCAGUGGGAGUUGCCCAUGAGCACUGGGACUUGGGGAAAUAUAAACAGGCCCUGGUUGGUGCUGCUCUGCCAGAACAGCCACCCAGAGGCAUGCUGCACAGACUCCCCAGGUGCAGUGGCUUAUGCCUGUAAUCCCAGCACUUUGGAAGUCCGAGGCAGGUGGAUCACAAGGUCAGGAGUUCAACACCAGCCUGGCCAACAUGAAGAAAGACUGUCUCUACUAAUAAUACAAAAAUUAGCUGGGCAUGGUGCGUGCCUGUAAUCCCAGCUACUCGGGAGGCUGAAGCAGGAGAAUUGCUUGAACCCAGGAGGUGGAGAUUGCAGUGAGCCAAGAUCGCACCUCUUCACUCCAGCCUGGGCAACAGAGCAAGACUCCAUCUCGAAAAAAAAUUAAAAAAAAAAAAAGUGUUAUCUUCAAUGUAGAAGUAUUAAUAGGUGGGGCCCUUAAGAGGUGAUUGGAUCAUGAGGGCUCUGUGUUCGUGAAUGGAUUAAUCCAUUCAUAGAUUAAUGAGUGAAUGGAUUAUGUGUUAUCAUGGGAUUAGGCCUGCUGGCUUUAUAAGAAGAGGAAGAGAAACCCAAGCUAGCAUGCUUAACCCCCUGGUCACGUAAUGCCCUGCACCACCUUAGGACUCUGCAGAAAGUUUCCACCAGCAAAAAGUGUUCAUCAGAUGUGGCCAUUUGACCUUGGAUUUCUCAGUGUCCAUAAUUAUGAGAAAUAAAUUGCUUUUCUUAUAAAGUACCCAGUUUCUGGUAUUCUGUUAUGAGCAAGAGAAAACAGACUAAAACAGUGAAGUUGGUAGAAUCAGGUAGAUGGCGUAUAAUGCAGGACAAUGUGUUGUUAUAAAGCCAGGAUACCCCUUGGGUUUUGAUUCUUCAGAUGUGCCUACUUCCCCCAACCAUGUUAUGAAAUAGCAUGAAAGACUUUACCAGAAGCCAAGGCCAUGCCCUUGAACUUCCCAGCCUGAAAUACUACAAGCUAAAUAAACUUCUUUUCUUGAUAAACUAUCCAGUCUCAGGCAUUCUGUUAUAGCAAUUCAGAACAAACUAGUUAUCCUCACUUUGUUUGUUUUUCUCAAAAG
rnacentral:lncRNA from 1 species